CCUACGGGAGGCAGCAGUAGGGAAUAUUGGACAAUGGACGCAAGUCUGAUCCAGCCAUCCCGCGUGAAGGAUUAAGGCCCUAUGGGUUGUAAACUUCUUUUCUUUGGGAAUAAAAAGCGGUAUUCAUAUCGCCUUGAAGGUACCAGAGGAAUAAGCACCGGCUAACUCCGUGCCAGCAGCCGCGGUAAUACGGAGGGUGCAAGCGUUAUCCGGAUUCACUGGGUUUAAAGGGUGCGUAGGUGGCUUUGUAAGUCAGCGGUGAAAGCCUGGAGCUCAACUCCAGAAUUGCCAUUGAUACUGCAGAGCUUGAAUCAAGUUGAGGUGGAUGGAAUAUUACAUGUAGCGGUGAAAUGCUUAGAUAUGUAAUAGAACACCGAUUGCGAAGGCAGUUCACUAAGCUUGUAUUGACACUGAGGCACGAAAGCGUGGGGAUCAAACAGGAUUAGAUACCCUGGUAGUCCACGCCCUAAACGAUGCAAACUCGACAUUAGCGAUAUACAGUUAGUGUCCAAGCGAAAGCGUUAAGUUUGCCACNGAGACGACGCGAGUAGAAGUAAGAAGUAGAGNGNGAGAGNGCGAGACGACGACGAGGAGGAGG
rnacentral:rRNA from 1 species